rnacentral:rRNA from 1 species
GCCUCCCUCCGCGCCAUCAGACUCCUACGGGAGGCAGCAGUAGGGAAUUUUCCACAAUGGGCGAAAGCCUGAUGGAGCAACGCCGCGUGCAGGAUGAAGGCCUUCGGGUCGUAAACUGCUUUUCUUUGUGAGGAUUAUGACAGUAGCAGAGGAAUAAGGAUCGGCUAACUCCGUGCCAGCAGCCGCGGUAAUAC